CCUACGGGUGGCAGCAGUGAGGAAUAUUGGUCAAUGGGCGGGAGCCUGAACCAGCCAAGCCGCGUGAAGGAAGAAGGCGCCAGGCGUCGUAAACUUCUUUUGUCGGGGAACAAAGGGCGCCACGUGUGGCGUUGUGAGUGUACCCGAAGAAAAAGCAUCGGCUAACUCCGUGCCAGCAGCCGCGGUAAUACGGAGGAUGCGAGCGUUAUCCGGUUUUAUUGGGUUUAAAGGGUGCGUAGGGGGAGCGGAAAGUCAGCGGUAAAAGCCCGGGGUGAAACCCCGGAGAGCCGUUGAAACUGUCGGACUAGAGACGGCGAGAGGUAGGCGGAAUGCGCGGUGUAGCGGUGAAAUGCAUAGAUAUCGCGAAGAACUCCGAUUGCGAAGGCAGCGUACCGGAGCCGAACUGACGCUGAGGCACGAAAGCGUGGGUAUCGAACAGGAUUAGAUACCCUAGUAGUC
rnacentral:rRNA from 1 species